CUGGCAAGAGACUAAUACCCGGUCAAGGCGGUUGCAGGAUCUGGGCUCUCCUUUAGCCACCAACCCCGGUUUUAAAACCACUAGGUUAAACCAAAGGAUCCGGGUUGCAGAAUCCGGGCUCUCCUUUAACCAAAUGAUUAGGUUGAUGAAAUAAUGGUGGAAACGGUGAAUGUAACCGCAAAGGAAAUGGUUUUGCUUGAAAGAUGUCAAGGUUUCUUAUCAAGAGUAGCAGCUAUGCUGGUUACAGAUUGUAGCAUGAAGACGCACAUAAUACAACUAAGUCGGAUACCAAUCACAGCAGCAUGACUUCACAACAAUUUUAGGAAAAAAAAACUGAUCUUCCUCAAUAGAACAGAUGUGUUCUUUUUGACAAUUACAACAACAAAUUUUUCUCACCAAUAACAGAUUUGCUAACACGGUGCCUUUUCCUUAUCUUUUUCAAAACCAAGAUUAAGGGAAGAU